UGCCCAGCAACUCCUAUCUCCACCUCCUCGCGGUACCGGCCGGAAACUAUGAGCAACCUUAGGGAAAAUCGGGUAACCAACCCCGGUGGGAACUUUGGUCGAACGCUGACAGGGAAGG
rnacentral:ribozyme from 1 species